rnacentral:rRNA from 1 species
AGAGUUUGAUCCUGGCUCAGGAUGAACGCUAGCGGGAGGCUUAACACAUGCAAGUCGAGGGGUAACAGAGGUAGCAAUACUUGCUGACGACCGGCGUACGGGUGAGUAACGCGUAUGCAACCUGCCCUAUACAGGAGGAUAGCCCGAAGAAAUUCGGAUUAAUACUCCAUGCAGCAUAUUUUUCGCAUGAUAAAUAUGUUAAAGAUUUAUCGGUAUAGGAUGGGCAUGCGUCCCAUUAGUUAGUUGGUGAGGUAAUGGCUCACCAAGGCUUCGAUGGGUAUGGGGUCUAAAAGGAUGGUCCCACACACUGGCACUGAGACACGGGCCAGACUCCUACGGGAGGCAGCAGUGAGGAAUAUUGGUCAAUGGGCGAGAGCCUGAACCAGCCAUCCCGCGUGCAGGAUGACAGUCCUAGUGAUUGUAAACUGCUUUUCUAUAAGAUGAAUAAGGACUACGUGUAGUUCGAUGACCGUAUUAUAGGAAUAAGCAUCGGCUAACUCCGUGCCAGCAGCCGCGGUAAUACGGAGGAUGCAAGCGUUAUCCGGAUUUAUUAGGUUUAAAGGGUGCGUAGGUGGGCGUUUAAGUCAGUGGUUAAAGCCAAUAGCUUAACUAUUGUAUGCCAUUGAAACUGGAUGUCUUGAAUAGGGUAGAGGUAGGCGGAAUGUGUUGGUGUAGCGGUGAAAUGCUUAGAUAUAACACAGAACACCGAUUGCGAAGGCAGCUUACUAUGCCUUUAUUGACACUGAUGCACGAAAGCGUGGGGAUCAAACAGGAUUAGAUACCCUGGUAGUCCACGCUGUAAACGAUGAUCACUCGUUUUUGGCAAUACAUCGUCAGAGACUAAGCGAAAGCAUUAAGUGAUCCACCUGGGGGAGUACGUUCGCAAGAAUGAAACUCAAAGGGA